UUGAACUGAAGAGUUUGAUCCUGGCUCAGAUUGAACGCUGGCGGCAUGCCUUACACAUGCAAGUCGAACGGCAGCACGGGGGCAA
rnacentral:rRNA from 1 species